rnacentral:hammerhead_ribozyme from 1 species
AUCCAGCUGACAGGUCUUAAAUAGGACGAAACAUGAGUCUUGGAU